rnacentral:tRNA from 1 species
GGGGAGUAGCUCAGUUGGUUAGAGCGCCGGCCUGUCACGCCGGAGGUCGCGGGUUCAAGUCCCGUCUCU